rnacentral:rRNA from 1 species
AGCUCCAAUAGCGUAUAUUAAAGUUGUUGCGGUUAAAAAGCUCGUAGUUGGAUUUCUGUCGAAGGCGGCCGGUCCGCACUAUGUGCGUGUAUCUGGUUCGGUUUUGGCAUCCUCUUGGGGAACGUUUCUGUGCUUGAUUGCAUGGGGCGGAAUUCAAGACUUUUACUUUGAGGAAAUUAGAGUGUUCACGGCAAGCUAUCGCUUUGAAUACAUUAGCAUGGAAUAAUAAUAUAGGGCGUAAGUUCUAUUUUGUUGGUUUCUAGGACAUACGCAAUGAUUAAUAGGGACAAUUGGGGGCAUUCGUAUUAACGCGUCAGAGGUGGAAUUCUUAGAUUGCGUUACGACGAACUACUGCGAAAGCAUUUGCCAAGGAUGUUU